rnacentral:rRNA from 1 species
GAGUUUGAUCCUGGCUCAGGAUGAACGCUAGCGGGAGGCUUAACACAUGCAAGUCGAGGGGUAUUUGUAGCAAUACAGAGAGACCGGCGCACGGGUGAGUAACGCGUAUGCAACCUGCCCUUUACUGGAGGAUAGCCCGUAGAAAUGCGGAUUAAUACCCCAUAGUAAUGUUAGAUCGCAUGAUUUGACAUUUAAAGUUUCGGCGGUAAAGGAUGGGCAUGCGUGACAUCAGCUAGUUGGUGAGGUAACGGCUCACCAAGGCUUCGAUGUCUAGGGGUUCUGAGAGGAAGAUCCCCCACACUGGUACUGAGACACGGACC